UACAGAGGCCUCGAGCGUUAGGCGGAAUCACUGGGCUUAAAGCGUGUGUAGGCGGAUCGUUAAGUGCCUUGUGAAAUCCCACGGCUCAACCGUGGAACUGCUGGGCAUACUGGCGAUCUUGAGCCACCUAAGGGCAACUGGAACAGACGGUGGAGCGGUGAAAUGCGUAGAUAUCGUCUGGAACGCCAAUGGUGAAGACAGGUUGCUGGGGGUGCGCUGACGCUGAGACACGAAAGCCAGGGGAGCAAACGGG
rnacentral:rRNA from 1 species